GCUUUCUGUCCCAGAAGCCUCAGCUCCUCUGAAACCACCUUCCCAUUCCAGAACCGAAGCGGCAACCAGCGAAACAGGAGGAGCAGAACCACGCAUGCGGCCCACACGCGUUUCCCAUCUGCCCCCGGGGCUCUACACCCGCCCAGGCGCAGUCUGCACAUGCCGAGCUGUUAGCCCCGGAGAAACGAUUCCUGGUUGUGGGGAAUGUGGGCCGAAGCAUAAAACACCAUGUUUUAAAGGCUCUGUCGGUAAAACCAUACAAAUAUGAGUACGUGCUUACGACAGAUGAAAGAGAGAUAGUCACCAAUAUAAUAACAAUAAUCAUCUCUGAAACAUGGGAUUUCAGGGAAAAAAUAACAUGAGACCCUAUAGUGAAAUGGAACAGCUAUAGAUUUUGAAGCUAGAGGGGACAGAUUGAACAGUGCUUCUGGGAGGACUUGGGAAAUCAAUUAUCUGCUUUAACCUGACUCAUCUCAUUUUGUAAAUUUUUAUGAGGAUUACAUAAGAGUAUGUAAAGAACAUGCCAUGUCAGAACUUGUCAAGUCCUCAGGAUAAGAUGCUGUUUCAAAAUUGAUUAGUUCUCCGACCCGCCCACUGGAAUCAUCCAACCUAUUGAAGAAGCAGAAUGGGAUGUGGAUUAUAGGGUUUCAGAUAACACCAAGUCCCUUGUGAAAGGAAGCUAGUGGAGAAUAUUCAGCAACAUGGGAGAAAGAGGAAGACUUAGAUUUCAGAAAAAAGACUCCAACACAUGAGGACAAUGAAGGGAAAUCCAGGUUUACAGCUAUGCAGCAGCCUAGAAAGCAACUAGUCCAGAUGAAAACAAGAGGAAAGAUGGCUUCAGGAGAUAUAACUCAGGGCAGGAGCUUGAACUGUCCUACUGUUUA